GUGCUCACUUCAGCAGGACACGUACUAAAAUUGGAAUGAUACAGAGAAGAUUAGCAUGACUCCU
rnacentral:snRNA from 1 species